AUGAUUUCAAGGGAAAGUGGGAAAACAUUUUUCUCUAACAAGCAUUCCCUUAAUUACAUUAUAUUGGUUCAACCGCACAAACAAAGAAACCGGUUACGAAAAAAAGUAUAUGACAAAGUUAGAAAAAGGAAAAUGAGAACCUUCGAAGAAUGUCGCCGAUGUGUAGGAUGCGUCUGGCGCUCAAGGGGCAGAAAAUGUCUCCACCAUCCUCAUACUAAAGAUGGAUCAAAGCUGACAGCGGGAGACGAAAUCCACGCCCACAUCACCUGCAUGAACGCUGACAGGAACAACACCGCGCAGAUCGAUGAUCUCGCCUCCUCCCUUGCGCAGCUCCAGCUUGGGCCCUGCUACCCCUCCAUCACUAUUUACCAGCCUAGGAGACCGAGGAUGCACACGAGGAGAAAAACCAGCCGCCGUCGAAGGUCACACUGUGGCUGGAACGGCGAAUCGAGCUGUGGGGCACCCUGUGGCUGCAACAGAGAAUCGAGAUGUGGGGGUGGCUGCAGGUGCGGACGAGCAAGCUCAAGGCACAGAAUCAAGGAAGAAAGCUGA
rnacentral:rRNA from 1 species